CUGAGCGGAGGGGCUCUACCUGGUUCCACUGUCUAGGUGAAAGGAAGUUUCCGCCUUUCUGGAGAAAGGCGGAAAGCCAAUUCCUCCUCUCACUAUAGUGUACUUUGCUACUGAACCUAAGGACGCCUCUCCUCCUACACAUUUAUCUUACACUCUUCCUCCAUGAGAUUCUGCCUCACCUUGGACCCAGAGCAAUGGAGUUGGCCAUCUAUGGACAGAGAUUUCUGAAACCGAAUGUACUGCAACAGAUCCCCAAUUCCUCCACCCUCUGAAAGUGUCUCACAGAAAAUUCCUUCAGUCAAAGAAGUUUCUAAUUCCAGAAAACUUUUGUGGUCUUGUUCCCAGACUGGCAGAUUUCACCAGGAAAAAUACAUCACCAUAUCCAGUUUCUGGACUAACAAGUCAAUUCCAGCCAUCAUGGCCCAAGUGGGGCUCAGAAAGCUUCAGACCUCCAAGAAGAUUCCUUUACUAUGCCCCAGAUUUUUACUCUCUCCUCAUUAUUUUUCUUACUGAAGCUACAGCCAGAUCUCUUUCCUUUCUUUCUCCACAAAAUGUCUUUAAAAUACUCCUCACUUAUUAUGUUUGUAUUUCAUCUCUACUCCUUUUUGCCUCUCCCUACAUUUACUUCUGUAGCCUAUUAUGUUUGGUUUGGUUUGUUUUGGGUACCUGGGAUUGAACCCAGUAGUGCUAAAUCACUGAGUCACACACUUUAAAAAAAAAAAAAUUGAAA